AGCAGCUUAAGGGAGGCAAGAGAACAGUGGAAAGUUUCGAUCAUAUUAUUUGUCCCUUUUUUCAUGACUAUUAGUCUGGGGAGACCCUGUGUAUGUUUGUCAUCAAAAAAUGAGGGGCUAGUGAACCCCGCAGUGCAGCUUGAUGAAGGUAGUUAUUAGAAGGGUAGAGGGACAGAUCAGAAGCCUUAGGGCUUUGGAAAAUCCAUCUGUUAGGUUGCGGAAAUUAACAUGAAAUAACCCCCAUCUUCUUAGAGAAGUAAGGAGUAGUAUAAGCUCCAUCACUUUUAAGAGGUUUUGACUGCUUUGUUCACUGCCAUAUCCCUCAGAACAGUACCAGACAUAGUAGGUGAUCAAUAAAGUGUUGAAUGGGGAUAGGAUUGAAUGUGUUUGAAAGAAGACUGGAAGAAGUCCAAGUAUGGACUCUUGAAGUCAGGUGAUUUGUUCUAUAGUCUGAUCAGACUUAGAACAGGCUUUUUUUGGGAGCAUUUACAUCCUUUCCAUUCAUAAACACUAUUUUCAAUAAAGGGAACAUAGGUCUUUUUGCCAAAUUAUACCCUCCUGCCCUAGCAGCCCAUAUGUGAUCACUUCCAUAGCUUUAACAAACCCCACUGCCACCACCACCUGGUGGGAGGGCAGGGAUUCACGUGUGGCACCCGAAAUGAGUUUCCUUUCAAGGGGCAGUACCUAUAAUUCUCCUCUUUGGUCCUGUCCUUCUAGAGAGUUGGCAGCCACUGAAAACAAGACACGACCAUCCUGAACUCUCUUACUGUACAGCUUGGUCCCCAUUCAGGGACAAAGAGGCUCUACUCUUCCAUUCCUCCUUAGCGAACAGAGUCAGAGGGCCAGAUUCAGGGUGCCACUGGCAAAGCCACCUGAGCAGCAUGGCAGUGGAUGUGAUGCUGUUACCUCGUAAAACAUCCGUCCACAUCCUACCCGUCACUUACCAUCGGGAUGGCCUAAAAGAGAUAGGCCGUGAGCAACUGCUUGGCUUAGAAUGCUGUAUUCACUGAAUAGACCUUUCAAAAUCUGCAUGAACCAAGCAAAUGAAUUCAAAACUUUCAAGAGUCCUACUUAAAUAGUUAAAGAUGCCGUAUCCUGUUUUGUUACUAUUCUGGUUCAGUUGCAGACAGAGCCAGAAGUAAAAUUCUGGUCCGUACACCCUUAGCCUUUUAUAGGAUACCUAGAAUUUUAUUUAAUGUACUUUCUGAAAUCUAAACUUUCUCUUUAAACUAAAUUUGAUUUCCCCAACUUCAGAUUUAUUUCUUAGGUGCACUAAGUUAACCAUGAAAAGACCACCACAUCUUGUUAAAGAACAAACUUCAGUGGAGGACAUCGUUUCCUUGGUGGCUAGGGGCUGCAAAAACGCAUGGAAGGCUUUCAGGAGGAUGAAGCAUACAGGGAGAUCAUUAUAACUCUAAGCAGGAUGAGUCCCAACAUUUGGAGUGCACUUCAGAGCCAUGGUCCCCAAGACCAAACCAAUCAAAGAAUGACCCCGUUGAAGAAGUCCCCCUUUUAAGCCAUGUGGCUUGCCCACUGAUCUUACAUAACAGAGUUGCAGCCUCCACAGGAGUGUUAAUCCAGGAGCAGACCGCUGCCAUGUUACAAGGACAUCGGGAUGGCAACACUAUGGCAAUGCCGAGCCAUUUUUCACAGAAGCAGAAUGGACUUCCUCCACAUGUGCCACAAUCUGUACACUCAGCUGCUUCUGCCUUUGCACGAGAGCCAGCCAGGGCAUGCUCCGAUACUCCAUGCCUUCAGAGUGAGCCUCAGUUUUGAUAACAGCAAUUCCAGAAGGUAAGAGAAUGGCAGAAUAGCAAGCACCAAGAACAUCAUUUACUGGCUGCCCAUUUUUGACCGGAGUCCCGGAGGACGCAAGAAAAAUCCCUUUGUCUCCAGAACGUUCUAAAAUCAUGGAUGACUCCAAAGGCACACCAGCUCUCCAUAUCAAUAUUAACAGUUUGUCCUUCGGAUAACUGGCGAGCCCAGAAGACAACUUGACCCUGAAAUCUACUCCCAGCAGAACACACUAUCUGGCUCUCACUCUUCAGAAAGAGGAAAGCACUCCGUCUAAAUUCCCACUACCUUCUUUUCCUGCAAGUCAGACCUUUGGGUUUUAAGAAAGCAGACUACAUGCUCAGCUCUGUUUUCCUGCGAGGAUUUAAAAAGGGGGGCCAGCUCUGUAAUGAUCGCUUUCUUGUAGGAAGAGGUCACCCCUGACCCACAAUCAUUAGAGUGUGAACUUUGAGUCAUGGCUCUGCCCUGAUCCAUAAGCAUUCAUCCAGAGCUUCUAGGUGACAAAUGGCACACAACUGCAAAAUUCCAGCCUCUGGCCACUGACCAGAAUAGAGCUAAUUUAUCCUAUAAGAUUUAUGGUUUAAGUCUCUGCUAAUGGCAUCAGCAAACUGGCUUUAGACUCUUAACUUUUACUCAUCUUGAUCUGGGAAACAUAAGUUCUCUUCUGUUUCACCGUGGUAUUAAUUCAAAGUACUGUAUCCCCUAAAUCACAAGCCCGAAAAUAGUGGCCCAUGGGUAUAUUUACUUUAAUCAUCGCUAUGUUUAAAACCUGUUUGAAUUAAUGCCAACAUUUGAAAUCUAGACAGUUCUCAUAAAAAUUCAGCUUAUUGGCUCCUCUCAAAAUGUCAAAAGCCCUAGCCAUUCAGGGUCCACAUUCCGGGCCACAGCCAGAAGAAAUUGAAUGGAGUAACCCGCUUCAGCAGAGACAAGUCUCCAUAACUCACCAGUCUCCUAUCCAAGUCUCUUCACUCCUUUCCAUUAUUCCUGGCCCCCAUAGGCAUUUGGGUUUGCGAAGCCUGGCCUCAUCAAAUAGCCUCCGAAGCCCAGGAUUCUGCCUGGAGGCAACAAUGCUAGACAUGGGCAGCAGCUGGAAGAAUCUCCAUACAGGCUGCAUAUAAUAAUUCUGGUUGCCUGCAGGAUCGCUCAACCCUGUCCUUUGCCACACCCUUUCUGUUGGCAGGAUACUGGCACAACACAGAGCUUCACCAGCAUACAGUGGGAUUUCAUUCAGAGGGAGAUCUGGGACUUCCACUGUGCUCUAGGACCCUGAUUCCCAUUCUCUCUUUCCAGAUACAAGGGCAGAAAAGUGCUGAGUGAUGUGUUUUAAUGGUCUCCAAAUCUGCAGAAAAAUUCAAUUGACAGACAAGUUUGCUUCUUCUUUCAAACAUCUGUAUUUUCCGCCCCGUGGGUCAGUGCAUUCAACAACGCUAUUUAAUAUUCAAUAAAUCGAGGCAAAUGAAAUUACAAAAAUGGAUCAUCACUUUUAUGGAAAACCAACUAAACAAAUGUUUUGCUUAAAAUGUCAGGCACUAGAGGACUUUAAUAAAAUAUUAAAAGUGAGUUCCCUGGAGGAGAUGAGCAAUUCAAAAAUAGAACAUAUGAGGACAGUGCUAAUUGAUACUUCAAAUAUGAAUGGCACUCCAUGUCCUAAUGGAUGAGGAAUUGUGUUCCCUGAUGAGAUGACACAAAUCACACAGGGGGAAUCUCGGGGGCCCAGUGGACAGCAGCUGUGUAGGAUCUGAGGCUGUGGGUGUGAACAACAGAGGUCCACGGGAAUCCACAGGAGGAAUUAGUUCAAUGCCAUGUAGAACCACACUGUACAGGAUUUAGGGUUAUGAAAGUUUCCCAGAGUCCUAAUUAUAAGGUGUAGUCUGAACCCAGACUGUCUCAACCAAGAUAAAGCUGUGUAGGGAGGCCAGCACUGCAUAGCACUCCUCGUGUUUGCCGAGCCCUUCUUCAAGGACUUAAUUUAUCCCACCCUCCCUUCUCCUGAAUUAUCAGUGGUUAAUCUCAUGCUCUUAUUUUGGAGUAACUGCUUAGGUGUGUACCCACUUUGAUGCUUUGUCCCCAAACUCUGAUGAGGUGCUCCCAAAAGGCUAUCCAUUCCAUAGCUAUUUUAGAAAUCCCUAGAGGAGUUUUUUUAGGAAUGCAGGUUCCAGGGUUUAUUCCCAAAGACUCGAACCCAGGAGGUCUUGGUGGGGACCAGGUAUUUACAUAAUGUCCCAGGGGACUCUGAUGUAUGUAUAUGGUCUGUGGCCAUACCUUAAGAAAUGCUAUCGUAGAAGGCUGAUGCCCACAUUUCAGGAUUCCAUCCCCAGCAACAAUUUAAAAACUUACUUUUGAAGAAAUGUAAAACAUAAAAAUCCUGAAUUCAUAAUAGUAUGAAACCUUCUUAUUCUUAUUAGAGGUUGUAUUACUUUGAAAUUCGAAAAAUAAAGGAAAAGAAAAAGAACGU